AUUGAACGCUGGCGGCAGGCCUAACACAUGCAAGUCGAACGCGUGGCGGACGGGUGAGUAAUGUCUGGGAAACUGCCCGAUGGAGGGGGAUAACUACUGGAAACAGUAGCUAAUACCGCAUACCAUCGGAUGUGCCCAGAUGGGAUUAGCUAGUAGGUGGGGUAACGGCUCACCUAGGCGACGAUCCCUAGCUGGUCUGAGAGGAUGACCAGCCACACUGGAACAGAGACACGUUCCAGACUCCGACGGGAGGCAGCAGUGGGGAAUAGUGCACAAUGGGCGCAAGCCUGAUGCAGGCAUGCGGCGUGUAUGAAGAAGGCCUGCGGGUUGUAAAGUACUUUCAGCGAGGAGUCGUUGAUCGCAGAAGAAGCACCGGCUAACUCCGUGCCAGCAGCCGCGGUAAUAC
rnacentral:rRNA from 1 species